AAAACACUCUUGAAAGUACACACUUUUAUUCCAUAUCACGUUUAAACCCUUUUCAAUUUCUAAAAUUUCAUACUUCCCUUAAACUAAACACGAUCCUUCCCUCCUUCUCUCUUCCUGUGAAACCCUAGUCAUUUCAUUUUCCUCGACCGCACUGAAUCUGUUCUUGUCGUUUUCGGUUACAGUGCAAUGUUAACUCUAUAGAAAAGGGUGUGACCGAACGCUGUUGUGCCUUUCACGCUGCACCGAGGCGGUGCUGCGACGAGUUUUGCCUCUUCGAAGGAAAAGGCAGUCGCCAACGGUCCGCCAUCGCCGUCGUUGGGGUCUCUGACCAAAACCACUGUAGCGGUGGGGUUCGACACGGGUAACACGAAGGACUGUAGGCGGUUCACGAAGUAAGGGUUGCUUGAUAAAGUCUGAUGCAAAGGAAGGACCAUGAAGCGCUCGUCAAGAAGGUCUCGAGGCUUGAAAGAGAGCUUUUCGACUACCAGUACAACACGGGCCUGCCAUUGAUUGAGAAGAAAGAAUGGAAUUCAAAGUUUGACCAGCUAAGGCAAGAACAAGCUGAAACUGAGGAAAUUAUUAAACGAGAACAGUCAGCACAUUUAAUUGCCAUGUUGGAAGUUGAGCAGCGAUAAAAGAAUUUGAGGAAAGCAUUGAGCACAGAGAGGCAACAUGGGACAAAUGGGAAAUUUUGGAAACACAAUUUGGGACAUUUGGAGGACACCAAAUAAAUUCAAGACUCUCCAAUUAGACAUUUUAAAUUUUAAUUGUAUUGUAAUUUUAUUGUUUAGAACUUUUUUGACAAACUCUCGGGAAUUUAGGGAUUAAAGAGCAGCCACACAUACUUUGAUAUAUUAUGGCUGUUGCAAUGUAAUUGUAGAAGGGGCACAUUCCCGUCACUUGUUAAAGGGGAUCUAGGACGUUUUUGAAGAAAGGAGAAAUGGCAUCGGUGUGGUGCUUCUAGUCGCCACUUGUUACUUGGCCCUUUAGGAAUGAUAAACUCGUUGAUUUGUUUUAGUGGUUGCUCAUUUAUUUUUUUUGCUGGAGCUGAUUCAUUGAUUGAGGUGACGCACAUGGCCUGGCGGCAUUAUGUAGGAGGAAGACUACGCUGGUUGCAAUUUGUUAUUGAAUGAAAGCAACACUUUUACAUUUCUUUAA